ensembl:lncRNA
AAAUCCAACCUAAAUUGUAAAUAAAAUAAACACGUAACAAUUCAUUCUAUGCUAUUUUUCAGUGUGAGUCAGUGAGUGACCGGUGACUAGCUGCUGCAGCCAAUGAUGCGAUUCACAUACGUAUUUACCAUAGACUGUAUAUAAUGGUAUUUACGCAGCUAAUCAAUGUCAGGCUUCCUUAUGUGCAGCCACCUUUGUUCUCAUAGAUAUGAAUGAGUAGAUAGGACACGCCCCUUUGAGCUGCGUGCUACAGCGAGGCUAAGCUAGUGGGGGCAAAGUUUCAGUGCAUUCUGUUGAUGUAGACGACGUGAAAACGGAAACAAGUAUGCCGUCUCACUGUGCUGCAUAUAGUUACACACUACGUCGUACGAUUGAGACAAGGAAACUUGGAAUGACUUUUCAUAGGUUUCCCAGAGACUAUGGGUUGAGGAGGAAGUGGAAGUUUGUCGGCUUAGACCUGGUGUCAUUCCAUCAGUGUUAAACUUCCCGGCUCAUCUUGGAAGAGUACGUGCCAGAAAGACCACGACCAAGCAGCCUUGAGAUCUUAGACAGCGUCUCCCUGAGGUCCCUCUCUAUCUCCCCACACAUCCACCAACCACUGGAACACAUCUCCAAAGUUCUGCUGGACCAGCUCAGCUUCCCCUCAGAAGAAGUGCUGCCACCUGCCAGAUGAAGGAGCCUUUUGAGAGGCAGCUGGCAUCGUGAUUGGACUGUACUUUGGUCUGUUCCAGUCCAGCUUCAGCUCCAGAGACGGCAGGCGGGACGAGUCAACGGAGGCCUGGUGGACGAAGACCAAAGAACUACAGACUCUUCACAACCUGCUCAAACUCUUGGUACAGGACCUCACCACACGGGUCAAGAAGGUUUCCAUCUCAUUUCUACUCUGAAGCUCACCUUCUCCUGCUCAAACUGCUGACAAAUGUUUCUGCUGCUCUGAAGUCUGGUCUCCAGAACUUCCUAAAAACUCUCAAAGUCUCUUCUGCUGCAGGUUGCUUUGUAGAACUGUUCCAGAAAACCUCACUAAACCACAUGGAGGGGCCUCAAGAUAGUCGUCCAAAUGAAACCAUACAAAAACCAAACUAGCACAACCCAAAUGCUAAAGUCUCCUGCAGCCUACCAGAGAACCUUGAGAACAGAGAAUCAGGACAGGAACUCUUACCUUCUGGACAACCAACGCUGGUUCUCAAACAAGAACACAGAAUGUGUCUGACCAAAAACCUCUAAAGACUCACUACAGCCAAGAUAAAGACACAGCUGCACCAAAUCUAUUAAUCACUGCACACAUUACCACCAUGUGCUAACUGUGGCUAAAGAACCUCAUUUACCAAGACAACUAUCCAGUACAAAGCCCUACAACACACCAAGAAACACAUUAAAGACGAUUUUACUGCUGGAAGCUGCAAGCCAAUGCCUAAACAACAAACUAAAGCAACGAAGCCAAACCCAGUUCAGUGGUGAACAGAAGCAGAGGAAAUGUUUGUCUGCAGCUAAAUAAAGCAGGAAGACACUGAGCUGCUCAGGUGUUCCUGAUAACACCAACCAGCUGCUCAGGUGUUCCUGAUAACACCAAGCAGCCACCUGGACAGCCAAUAGGAACACAGCUUCCUGGAAGUCCAGAGGGCUGGCUUAGUGAAGGAAAUUUAGUUUAAAGUUGAAGCAGAAAGUUAAUAAAGAAAGUUGAAAACCACCUUCUGAUACCUGAAAUCUCUGAGUUUUCACACAAAGAACACCUGAACAUGUCAAACUGGUUCCAUAGUAGAACCAUCAUUGUAAAAACAUCAUAGUAUGGUGUGUUGCUCAAAAAACAUUAG